rnacentral:lncRNA from 1 species
CCUAUAGCCAAGCCAGAGUGACAGUCCAAGCUGUCCUGCCCCUUUUCUGACCUGAGGCAGAAUUAACCACCUCCCUCAGAGAGUGCUGAGGCAAAUCUUGCUGUCUGCGCUCCAACUCUCUCCUGUGUGGUCCCUCUACAUCUAGCUCCCAGGCUUCCCCCUCAGGAGAGGCCCUCCUAGCAGCCUUAGAGGACAGAACAACCACCACCUGGGUCAUCAGAAGCCAUGCCUGGAAGUCCCAGAGGGAGUGAGAGGAAGAAAUGCCAGGGUCCCGGGCUUUCUGGGGAAGCAGAGAGAGGACUGGUUAAAAUAAAGAUGGGAGGUAGGGUCCGCAGCCCAGCUCGUUUGGAAACCACACUGGUGCAAGCUGAGAGGCCCCAGGAAUGGCAUGAUCUUCAAACCCUUCUGGAAUUUAGACCGCACAUCCUUGGACAUUGUGAGCCAGGAGAUGGUGCUCCUGUGUGGAGGUGGACACGAGGGAAGCAGGGCAGAAAGUCGCCCCUACCUGAAGCAUCCAGAGUCUCUGCUGGACUCAGUAGGGUCUCUGCAUUAGUUCUAGGAGCAAAUCUUGUCUGCUGAAUACUUGUGAGGAGGAUCCUGUCCUCUCCUUCCCUCAUUCUCUUCCAACCAGCCAGGACCAGCAAGCCAAGUGCAGGCUCUCGGAGCCCGUGUCCCAUUUCGAAGUCUGUUUACUCUGCAAAAUUAAUCCCUUGGAUGCCUGGAGAAACAGGACUCAUAUUAAACAAAGACCUGACUCUGGAUUCUGCACACUAAGCUCUGCGGUGGAAGCUUUUAGUGUAUGCAGUCAGGAAAACAAUGCCCCAGGCUCAGCUUGUGCAUCCUCUGUGCGUGACCUCUGAGGUAUGGGGGCACAGCCUUCAAUACAUCAUAGUAAUGGGUCACAUGCAUGCCUUCCAGAUGUGACGCUACAACCACAGUGGAGAAAGAGACCCAGUGGUAGUGGAGAAAGAGACCCAGUGGUAGUUUGGAAUAAGUGGCUAGGAUCAAACAACCAUCACUGUUGAACAAGAUCGUAUGUGUGUGUGUGUGUGUGUGUGUGUGUGUGUGUUCAUUUGUGUGUAUGUAUAUGUAUGUGUGUCUGUCUUUGUGUGUAUGUGUGUGUGUGUGUGGUUUUUUAAAAGAAUUAUUUAUUAUAUAUAAGUACACUGUAGCUGUCUUCAGACACACCAGAAGAGGGCAUCAGCUCUCAUUACAGAUGGUUGUGAGCCACCAUGCAGUUGCUGGGAAUUGAACUCAGGACCUCUGGAAGAGCAAUCAGUGCUCUUAACCACUUUGCCAUCUCUCCAACCCCCUUUGUGUGCAUGCCUCUCUCUCUCUCUCUCUCUCUCUCUCUCUCUCUCUCUCUCUCUCUCUGUGUGUGUGUGUGUGUGUUUGUCUCUACCAAGGUCUUCCUAGGAAGCCUGUGAAGCCACUAAGUACUGGGAUGUAGCUUGGUCGUUGGAGCACUUGCACAGAGGAGGCCCUGAGUUUGAUCCCUAGCACUGCACAAACCAGACAAAGUGGCACAGGCCUGUGAUCCUAGCACUCAGUCACUUAAGAAUUGGGGGGGGCAGGAUGAUCAAGAGAUUGAGGCUGUGGUGGUUUGAAUGAGAAUGACCCCCCAUAGGCUCAUCUGAAUGCUUGGUCUACAGCUGGUGGAACCAUUUGGGAAGGAUUAGGGGGCGUGGCCUUUCUGCAGAAGGUGCAUUACUGAAGGUGAGCAUAGAGG